AACGAACGCUGGCGGCAUGCCUAACACAUGCAAGUCGAACGAGACCUUCGGGUCUAGUGGCGCACGGGUGCGUAACGCGUGGGAACCUGCCCUUAGGUUCGGAAUAACUCCCCGAAAGGGGUGCUAAUACCGGAUAAUGUCUUCGGAUCAAAGAUUUAUCGCCUUUGGAUGGGCCCGCGUUGGAUUAGCUAGUUGGUAGGGUAAAAGCCUACCAAGGCGACGAUCCAUAGCUGGUCUGAGAGGAUGAUCAGCCGCACUGGGACUGAGACACGGCCCAGACUCCUACGGGAGGCAGCAGUGGGGAAUAUUGGACAAUGGGCGAAAGCCUGAUCCAGCAAUGCCGCGUGAGUGAUGAAGGCCUUAGGGUUGUAAAGCUCUUUUACCCGGGAUGAUAAUGACAGUACCGGGAGAAUAAGCUCCGGCUAACUCCGUG
rnacentral:rRNA from 1 species